rnacentral:lncRNA from 1 species
ACACGUCACAGGCCUUAAAAUCAAUUUCUCUUCUUUCUUUAAUAAUAAUUGCCUAUAUAACAUCAAAACUUCAAAAAUAUCUAAUUUAUCCAUACUUUUUAUUUCUAAUAUAUCUCUCGUAUGUUUCUCCGUUAUACAACAUGAGUUAAAUAUCUACCAAAAUUUUUUAAAAAAUAAAAUUAUUUCUUUUAUUUUUAACUUAAGGGUAAAUAAGAAAAGUUGGUAAUAGUAGGAUAUAUUUGAAAAGACUAAAAAUUAAAAUACUUUUUUUGUCCCCAAUUUAAUGGCAAAUAAAAAAACAGAAUUUCAAAAAGAUAACGGCUUAAUUCUGAAAUAACUUGAAACGUAAAAAAAGUAUUUUUAAUACUAGCCUUCUAAGAGGAGGUAAAUCAGAAAGUCAAAAAUUUUUCAAGAAUAUAUAAGCAAUUG